GAAAGCGUGGGUAGCGAACGGGAUUAGAUACCCCGGUAGUCCACGCCGUAAACGAUGGAUACUAGCUGUGGGGACUUCGGUCUCCGUGGCCAAGCGAAAGUGAUAAGUAUCCCACCUGGGGAGUACGUUCGCAAGAAUGAAACUCAAAGGAAUUGACGGGGGCCCGCACAAGCGGUGGAGCAUGUGGUUUAAUUCGAUGAUACGCGAGGAACCUUACCAGGGCUUAAAUGCAGGCUGCAUGGGGUAGAGAUACCCCUUUCUUCGGACCGCCUGCAAGGUGCUGCAUGGUUGUCGUCAGCUCGUGCCGUGAGGUGUCAGGUUAAGUCCUAUAACGAGCGCAACCCCUACCGUUAGUUGCCAGCAUGUCAAGAUGGGGACUCUAACGGGACUGCCGGUGCAAACCGUGAGGAAGGUGGGGACGACGUCAAAUCAUCACGGCCCUUACGUCCUGGGCUACACACGUGCUACAAUGGCCGGUACAGAGGGAAGCCACCCCGCAAGGGGGCGCGGAUCUACAAAACCGGUCACAGUUCGGAUCGGGGUCUGCAACUCGACCCCGUGAAGCUGGAAUCGCUAGUAAUCGGAUAUCAGCCAUGAUCCGGUGAAUACGUUCCCGGGCCUUGUACACACCGCCCGUCAAGCCAUGGAAGCCGGGAGUGCCUGAAGUCCGUCACCGCGAGGAGCGGCCUAGGC
rnacentral:rRNA from 1 species